AGACAGGAUGUCUGGAACAGGAGAUGGAUGUGGUGAGAGAAGGGCUAGCUAGUUGGUUAAGGCUUUGGCUAAGUGGAGUGAGAUGGAAGAAAUAACAAAUAAUACUGAAACCAGACUAGACAACAAGGCUAGGGAAAACACUGAGGAAGACCAGAUGCAAACAGGGGAAAAGAAAAGGGUAGAUUCUCUGUAACCAGAAGAAGGAGCAGCAAAUAGGAGAGCAAGAAAGGGAAAUGGUGAAAACUUACAUGAUAGUAAAAUCCUAGCUAAGGACCUGAAGAUAGGGGAUAUAAACUGCUGAGGAUUGCAGAGUGGAUUGGGGGGAGGGAGGGGAAGGCUGGAGAUACAUUAAGAGCUAAGAAACUGCCUGGUGGAGACUUGUUCUUCAUUUCUUACAAUCCACUAGCAAGUAGGGAAGCUCCUUCAGACAAGGGUGCUAGAUAAGAUAAAAAUGUCAGUUACCCAAAUUCCUCACAGAAACAGGGGCAGUACAUGGUGUGCUAACUGAAAUGGCAGAGGAGGAAAUAAAGCAAGCAACAGAUGAAGACAAAACUGCUAAGAGGCUAAUUAGCAGAAGAGGUGUUAGCAAGCCCUCUACAGCUGUGCUGGACACAUUUCAGGGAAGAAUGUUACCAGAUAGAGUGAUUUCAGGCUAUCUGACAGCAUCUCACAGGAGAAAGAACACAGACUAUGGGUGCUGAUGAUUUGGUCACAUAGCAAAUAAUGUUGAAGGAAAAAUACAGUGCAGUAAUUGUGGAGAUGAAUGUUCAUACAAUUCUUGUGAGGAAAGGACAGAACAAAAAAGUUACAACUGUGGAGAAAAACACAGCUCAAGAGGAGGCACUGAGGCAAAGCAAGCCAGAUGAUGGUAAACUUGAUAUGGGGAAAGGGAACAACCAGCAACAAACAAAUGGGAAGGAAGUAACAAGUGACACUGUGGUAAAAGGAGAUUACGUGCUACUUACAGAGACUGACUGAAGUAAUACAUUCUUGCUUGUUUGAGAUGUACAGUAUAAAUGAGGGAGGUAAAAAUAAUGAACAAGUGCCGUGCUGCACACCCAGAGCACAUUUACUCCAGAUCACGGAUUACUGUUGAGAGGAAGAGUGGUCACUGAAUGAGGGUCAGAAGAUCUGGAUUCAAUACCUGGUUUUGCCACAGACUUCCCAUGUGACUUUAGGCGAGUCACUUAAUUUCUUAUGCCUUAGGUCACCAUCAGACUUGGUCCUGUCUAAGGAGAUUGUAAGCUCUUUGGGGCAAGGUCCAUCUUCCUAUGUGAACAUGCAAAACCUAGCACAAUGGGUCCCCUGUGUUAGCUUGGGCCUUUAUGAGCUACUGUAAUGCUAGAAAUAAUCAGAAUGGAGAGAGAAGGUGGUGGUUUUACAAGCAAUAGCAAAUUAUAUGUAACUUGACAUGAGAAUUUCAGCCUUUCAUGUUUUGUUGUUGUUUGUUGUUCAGCCUUUCUAGAAUGAAAAUGUAUAAUGCACAGAUAUC